rnacentral:rRNA from 1 species
AACGAACGCUGGCGGCGCGCUUAACACAUGCAAGUCGAACGCAUGCUUGAUCUUCGGGUUGGGCAUGAGUGGCGGACGGGUGAGUAACGCGUGGGAACCUGCCCUGAGGUUCGGGACAACCGUGGGAAACUGCGGCUAAUACCGGAUAUCUCCUUUGGGAGAAAGACUUGUCGCCUUGGGAGGGGCCCGCGUCGGAUUAGCUUGUUGGUGGGUAACGGCCUACCAAGGCAUCGAUCCGUAGCUGGUCUGAGAGGAUGAUCAGCCACACUGGGACUGAGACACGGCCCAGACUCCUACGGGAGGCAGCAGUGGGGAAUUUUGGACAAUGGGCGCAAGCCUGAUCCAGCCAUGCCGCGUGAGUGAAGAAGGCCUCGGUU